AUUCCUAAAUGACUGCUUCCUAGUUGUCUCUAUUCAGUGCAGUGGUAGACUAUAAAUUAUUAAAACGGAACAGCAAAAGUCUGAGACAUGUAAUUGAUUUUUUUACCCUCUUCAACUUAGAACUCAUACAAUAGGACAUGUACAUACGUCCAGAUUUUUUUCCCUCACUAGUCAUGUUGUCUGUUUGAUUUCAAUAAUAGUAAACUCAUAGGAUUUUGAUAUAGUAACGUCAUACUAUCAAAAUUAUAGUUUUGAAAGAAUGUGGCCCUUAUAGUUUUGUAUAAAGAUUCUGAUCGAGAUACUUAAACAUCUGAUAUUAAAUCUAUUCUAGGAAGUACAAGUAGUACUAGUGGUAGCAGUGGAAGCUCAACUAAAAAUAUCUGGGUUAGUGGACUUUCAUCUAAUACCAAAGCUGCUGAUUUGAAGAACCUCUUUGGCAAAUAUGGAAAGGUUCUGAGUGCAAAAGUAGUUACAAAUGCUCGAAGUCCUGGGGCAAAAUGCUACGGCAUUGUAACUAUGUCUUCAAGCACAGAGGUGUCCAGGUGUAUUGCACAUCUUCAUCGCACUGAGCUGCAUGGACAGCUGAUUUCUGUUGAAAAAGUAAA
rnacentral:sRNA from 1 species